UUAUCUAAUUUGACACUCAUGCAAAACGUAAGUUUUCAUCUUCUGCACAAAACUUUCAGGCCUCUCAGUCUCGCGUCGGAUAAUAUUGAAUUAAUAUUUGGGAAAGUUUCUGGGCUAAUUCUAUCGAUGAUGCGCACAGAAUUCUUCUGCUCAUCACAUCGAACGCACCUCCUGUCGGAUCUGGAUCUAUUGACACACCACCGGCUUCACGCACGAUAAGGUCUCCAGCUGCAAUGUCCCAUGCAUGUAUACCAAAUUCAAAGUAUACGUCGGCACCGCCAAGGGCCACCAUGCACAUGUUCAAAGCCGCCGAACCGAGCGAUCGUAUUCUGUGUGCGACAAGUAGAUUGAUUUCUUCAUUAAAUCAUCCGUUGCGAAAAUAUAACUCAUAAAAUAAGACCUACCCGUGAAUACGUGAAAGUAAUGAUAUCAUAAAUGAUAAAUCGAUGAUAAAGAGGAAGAAUAAUCGAUUGAAUAAUCAAUAUGGAAAUUUUAAUUAACACUUUGAUGACUGUCGCGGAAAAAUGUUUGCUCGCCACCAAUAAGUUUUGAGAGUUCGCUUAGAUUAUAUCCGAAGAGACAAACAUUCUUCUCUUAUACAUAAAUUCAUAAAAAAGAGAAAGAAGAGAGAGGGCAAAAAUUACCUUUUUCGCCGGAUACACUAAUCGGAGCACCAUUGAAAAAAGCACCUUGACCUUUACGGGCUGUAAAAAGCUGCUCCAAGAUUGGAUUAUAUACUAUUCCUAUCUCGGUUGUUUUAUCGAUGAGCAAUGCGACUGAUAUGCAUGUAUGAGGAAGACCAUGAACGAAAUUCAUCGUUCCAUCGAUUGGAUCAAUUAUCCAUGUUGGUGCAUUCGUUAACGUAAUCUUCUGACUUGAAGCAGUGGACUCUUCACCGAUAAAUCUGUAGAGAACGAUAAGGCGUUAAACGCUUCGAUAAUAAAGCGUAUAGACAUAUAUCAAGAAAAGGAACGCAGCAAACAGCGACUUGAACAUAUUCGGAUUAUAUACGAAUUACGCGCGCAGUCGCAGUUUUCCACCAACAGACAACACAGUUGAGACGAUCGUGCGAUGUGUCUUAUAGGGAUAUUAAAAUUAAAGAUAUAAUCAUGAGUAUAAUUAUUCAUGAUUUAUCAUGGACAAUUAGCAACUGUCCGCUCGCAUUAGACAAGCCAUGAAGUUUGUAUAGUGACGCACGAUUAGAAAAUGUAUAUGCGGCAAUACGUAAAAUCAAUGAAGUCUGUCGACACAGGCGCAUCGCGCUCACGAAGGGGAAAGGAAGAAAAAAUUAAUUGUUCGGAUGGAUUCGAUCACCGAGCCAGCCUGUUUUACGAGCCGCAGAAUUUCGACGUAACACUCGUCGACGUUCAA